UACGGAGGGGGCUAGCGUUGUUCGGAAUUACUGGGCGUAAAGCGCACGUAGGCGGCUUUGUAAGUUAGAGGUGAAAGCCCGGGGCUCAACUCCGGAAUUGCCUUUAAGACUGCAUCGCUAGAAUUGUGGAGAGGUAAGUGGAAUUCCGAGUGUAGAGGUGAAAUUCGUAGAUAUUCGGAAGAACACCAGUGGCGAAGGCGGCCUGCUGGGCAGUUUUGCUGACACUGAGGCGCGACAGCGUGGGGAGCAAACAGG
rnacentral:rRNA from 1 species